AGCUGAAUCGAUCAUACGGAAUUUUGUUUACCUCUGUUUUCUUUUUCUUUUUUACUGUAAAUGACAAUAGGUCUUACUGGCCUGAAUUUCUUUCCGGCUAGAUGAGUCUUUUUCCGGCCACAUUGAUUGGCAGUCAUCAGAAACAGCUACUAUCACGUAGCUCCUCUAUCUAUCAGUCCCUCGUCCUUACGUUUAGGGAACAGAGAAAAUUUUGAUUCGACUCCCUCACCGUGAUCAUGGAGAUCAUGGAGUCUACACGAAAGAGAAGUGAAAGCUCGAAUGCCCCAGAAUCACAGCCUGUGGAUAAACCAGAGUCUGAGAAUGAGAAGAAACAAAAAGGAGGCUGGAGUUAUGCAUAUCUUUUGCUAUCAAAUCAAGGGCUUGCAACACUAGCUUUCUUUGGAGUUGGGAUGAACUUGGUCUUGUUCUUAACUCGAGUUCUUGGACAAAACAAUGCCAUUGGAGCUAAUAAUGUCAGCAUAUGGACCGGAACUGUAUACUUGUGCUCGCUUGUGGGAGCGUUCCUCAGUGAUUCAUACUGGGGCCGUUAUCUUACUUGCGCUAUUUUUCAAGUCAUCUUAGUUUUGGGCCUGACGCUGCUAUCUGUAUCAUCUUGGCUUUUCUUGGUCAAGCCUAAAGGCUGUGGAAAUGGCAAACUCCGCUGCCAGCCACCUACUUCAGUAGGCACAUCAGUCUUCUACUUGGCCAUUUACUUAACAGCCUUCGGCUAUGGCGGCCACCAGCCCACCAUAGCCACAUUUGGAUCGGAUCAAUUUGACGACUCGCAGGAAAGCUCGAAAGCUGCUUUCUUCUCCUACUUCUACUUUUCACUGAAAACGGGCACCUUGUUUUCAAACACCGUAUUAGUGUACUUUGAGGAUAACGGAAAAUGGACGGCCGGGUUCUGUGCGUCCACCGCCUCUGCCGUCCUGGCGCUGGUGAUAUUCCUGCUCGGUUCCCAUGGAUACCGAUACAUGAAGCCGUGUGGGAAUCCUAUACCACGAUUGAUUCAAGUUUUUGUUGCGGCAUCCAAGAAAUGGCGCGCAACUCCUAAGCAAGGGGAGGAAUUGCAUGAAGUCGAAGGAUCGCAGUCUGCAAUCAAAGGAAGUCGGAAAAUCGGCCAUACGGAUGAUUUAAGGUUUCUUGACAAGGCAGCUAUAGUAACAGAAGAAGACCGCCGUUGUCAGCGUUCAAGUCCGUGGCGGCUCUGCACUAUAACCCAAGUGGAGGAAGCCAAAUGCAUCGUCCGAAUGAUGCCAAUCUGGCUCUGCACGAUCACGUACUCGGUAGUGUUCACCCAAAUGGCCUCCCUUUUCGUCGAGCAAGGAGACGUAAUGGACACCAAAAUUGGCAAAUUCCGCCUCCCUGCCGCCAGCAUGUCGGCGUUCGACAUCUGCAGCGUCCUCUUCUUCACCACAUUAUACCGCCUGAUCCUCGUCCCGGUGACGAGGAAGUUCACCGGCAACCCCCAAGGCCUGACCGAACUCCAACGCAUGGGCGUCGGCCUCGUAGUCGCAAUGCUAGCGAUGAUCGCCGCCGGCAUAACCGAACUGUGGAGGCUCAAAUCAGUGGUCCCGGGAAAACACGAAAGCUCCAUGAGUGUGUUCUGGCAGAUCCCCCAGUACGUGUUGAUCGGCCUAUCGGAGGUCUUCAUGUAUGUCGGGCAACUGGAGUUCUUCAACGGGCAAGCGCCGGAUGGAAUCAAGAGCUUUGGGAGCUCGUUGUGCAUGGCGUCGAUUUCGGUCGGGAAUUUUGCCAGCAGCUUCCUGGUCAACAUAGUGACGAGUGUCACGUCGUCGAACAACAACCCCGGAUGGAUUCCGGAGGAUUUGAACAACGGCCACAUGGAUAGAUUCUAUUUCUUGCUUGCCGUACUAGCGGCGGUGGAUUUCUUGAUCUACUUGGCGUGUGCGAAUUGGUACAAAUGCGUUGAUCCUCAUGCCAGCGCCGACCAAGGUGAAAACAACGAGGAACAAGAAGCGACGAGUAGGGUUUGAACUUAGAACAACAACAGUAGAAGGGAGGAUUAAAUGCAAUUUUCGUCCUGUAACUAUAGCUCAAUCCCAUUUUAGUUCUAUCUUUCUAGGGUUUGGAUUUGGUCCUCUAUGUAAUUGAAUUGCUCAAUUUUAGUACUAUUUUGGCCGAAAAAAUACCCAGCCCGCGGGAAAUUUCCACGUGGCUCCUACGUGGACAUUUAAAUUGGGGCUGGGACCUCAUUGGUUGAUAUUUAAAUGACUUGACAAAUUUUCGGAUA